GAUGAAGAACGCAGCGAAAUGCGAUACGUAAUGUGAAUUGCAGAAUUCAGUGAAUCAUCGAGUCUUUGAACGCACAUUGCGCCCCCUGGUAUUCCGGGGGGCAUGCCUGUCCGAGCGUCAUUGCUGCCCUCAAGCACGGCUUGUGUGUUGGGCCUCCGUCCUCCUCCCGGGGGACGGGCCCGAAAGGCAGCGGCGGCACCGCGUCCGGUCCUCGAGCGUAUGGGGCUUCGUCACCCGCUCUUGUANGNCCGGCCGGCGCUUGCCGACACAUCAAUCUUUUUUCCAGGUUGACCUCGGAUCAGGUAGGGAUACCCGCUGAACUUAAGCAUAUCAAUAAGCGGAGGA
rnacentral:misc_RNA from 1 species